rnacentral:rRNA from 1 species
ACUCAAAUGAAUUGACGGGGGCCCGCACAAGCGGUGGAGCAUGUGGUUUAAUUCGAUGCAACGCGAAGAACCUUACCUACCCUUGACAUCCUAAGAAUCCUGCAGAGAUGCGGGAGUGCCGAAAGGAAUUUAGAGACAGGUGCUGCAUGGCUGUCGUCAGCUCGUGUUGUGAGAUGUUGGGUUAAGUCCCGUAACGAGCGCAACCCUUAUCCUUAGUUGCCAACAUGUAAUGGUGGGGACUCUAAGGAGACUGCUGGUGAAGAACCGGAGGAAGGUGGGGACGACGUCAAGUCAUCAUGGCCCUUAUGGGUAGGGCAACACACGUGCUACAAUGGGGUGUAACAAAGGGAAGCCAACCUGCAAAGGGGAGCCAAUCUCAAAAACCACCUCGUAGUCCGGAUUGGAGUCUGCAACUCGACUCCAUGAAGUUGGAAUCGCUAGUAAUCGCGAAUCAGAAUGUCGCGGUGAAUACGUUCCCGGGCCUUGUACACACCGCCCGU